rnacentral:rRNA from 1 species
CCAAUCGAACCCGGAGAUAGCUGGUUCUCCUCGAAAUAGCUUUAGGGCUAGCCUCAUGGAUCAUUGGUGGGGGUAGAGCACUGAAUGUGCGCGGGGGCCACAAAGCCUACCAAACGCUAUCAAACUUCGAAUACCAUACAAUGCAGACCAUGGGAGUCAGUCCGCGAGAGAUAAGUUCCGCGGGCAAAAGGGGAACACCCCAGAUCAACCGCUAAGGUCCCCAAGUUCACGUUAAGUGGAGAAGGAUGUGGAAUUGCACAGACAACCAGGAUGUUGGCUCAGAAGCAGCCACACAUUUAAAGAGUGCGUAAUAGCUCACUGGUCGAGUGAUUGUGCGCCGAAGAUGUCCGGGGCUAAACGUGACACCGAAGCGAUGGGUGCAUCUGAAGAAGAUGCGCGGUAGAGGAGCAAUGUGCAGAGGCAGAAGCCGUAUCGAGAGGCACGGUGGACACUGCACAAGAGAGAAUGCCGGUAUGAGUAGCGAGAGGCAUGCGAGAAACAUGCCCGUCGAAAGCCCAAGGUUUCCUGGGGAAGGUUCAUCCGCCCAGGGUAAGUCGGGGCCUAAGCCGAGGACGGAAGUCGUAGGCGAUGGACAGCAGGUGUAGAUUCCUGCACUACCGAUGGAAUGAAGCAGUGACACAGAAGGAUAACUCGAGCAGGGUGAUGGUCAACCCUGUGCAAGCAUCAAGGUUGGGUUGUAGUGAAGUACGCAACCCUAUAAGCUGAGAUGUGAUGCGGACCGAAAUUUCAGUAGGGAAGCGAGUGAGUUCACGCUGGCGAGAAAAGCUGCUAGUACAUCCAAAGGUACCCGUACCGGAAACCGACGCAGGUGGGCGAGGAGAGAAUCCUGAGACGAACGGGAGAACCCUUGUUAAGGAACUCGGCAAAAUGACCCCGUAACUUCGGGAUAAGGGGUGCCUGCGAGAGCAGGCCGCAGAGAAUAGUCACAAGCGACUGUUUAGCAAAAACACAGGUAUCUGCGAAAGCGAGAGCUGACGUAUAGGUGCUGACACCUGCCCGGUGCUGGAAGGUUAAGGGAACAUGUUAGAGCAAUCGAAGCAUCGAACCGAAGCCCCAGUAAACGGCGGCCGUAACUAUAACGGUCCUAAGGUAGCGAAAUUCCUUGUCGGGU